CACAGAGUAGCUUAGUUUAGAACCCUAGCUUUGGGAGUUAGCGGUGGGAGUUAGAAUCUCCUCUCUUUGA
rnacentral:tRNA from 1 species